rnacentral:rRNA from 1 species
CACGUAGGGGGCGAGCGUUGUCCGGAUUUAUUGGGCGUAAAGAGCUCGUAGGCGGCUCGGUAAGUCGGGUGUGAAAACUCUAGGCUCAACCUAGAGACGCCACCUGAUACUGCUGUGGCUAGAGUCCGGUAGGGGAGCAUGGAAUUCCCGGUGUAGCGGUGAAAUGUGUAGAGAUCGGGAGGAACACCGGUGGCGAAGGCGGGUCUCUGGGCAAUUCCUGACGCUGAGGAGCGAAAGCGUGGGGAGCGAACAGG